GGAUUGUGGCUCAGUGGCACAACACUUGCCUUGUAAGUAUGAGGCACUGGGUUCAAUCCUCAGCACCA
rnacentral:tRNA from 1 species